GUGCCAGCAGCAGCGGUAAUACAGAAAAUGCAAGCGUUAUUCCCUUUAUUAGGCGUAAAGCGUUUUAAGGUUUUAUAUUAAUUUUAUUUUAAAAUAUUUAAUUAAAAUUUAAAAAAAAAAUAAAUAAUAAUAUAAUAGAGUAUUAUUAAAGUAUUAAGAAUUUUUUGAGAAGUAGUGAAAUACAAUGAUACAAAAAGGAAUACCAAAAGCGAAAGCAUAAUACUAAAUAAUUACUGACACUUAAAAACGAAAGCUAAGGUAGCAAAUAGGAUUAGAUACCCUAGUAGUCUUAGCUGUAAACUAUGAAUAUUUUAUAUUUAUAUUAUAUAUAAAUAUAAUAACUAACGUAAAAAAUAUUCCGCCUGAGUAGUAUAUUCGCAAGAAUUAAAUUCAAAGGAAUUGACGGGAGCUUAUACAAGUGGUGGAACAUGUGGCUUAAUUCGAUGCAACACGAUAAACCUUACCAAAAUUUAACAAUAUUUUUAAUAUUAAGAAAUUAAUAGUUUAAUAAAAUAUAUAGGUAGUGCAUGGCUGUCGUCAGUUCGUGCUGUGAAGUAUUAAUUUCAGUAUUAUAACGAACGUAACCUUUUAUAGAAAAAUAAUUUUUAUAAUAUAUUAUUAAUAAUAAAUAUAUAAAAAAGAUUACGUCAAGUCAUUAUGCUCCUUAUAUUUUGGGCCGCUCACGUGUUACAUAAAAUAUUACAAUAUAUUUAUUAUAUAUAAAUAUAAUAUUUAAAAUAUAUUUAUAGUUCAGAUUAUAAAUUGAAACUCAUUUAUAUGAAGAUGGAAUCACUAGUAAUCGCUAAUUAGAAUUAUAGCGGUGAAUAAGUUCUUAAGCUUUGUACACACCGCCCGUCACAUCUGAAAAAUAUUAUAUUAUAUAAAAAUUAUUGUUAAAUAAUAAUAUAUAAAAAUAUAAUUUAGAUGAAGUCGUAACAAGGUAACCGUA
rnacentral:rRNA from 1 species